GAGGCCCGGAAGCCGCUGUGCGUGCGGCGACACCCGGAGGGCCGGGGUGUUGCCGGGUUUUCCGCCUUUGGAGUCUCUAGUUCUCGCUAAUUUAAUUCGUUCCUAAGCUGCAGCCUAGUCCCUCGAGGGCGGACCAGUGGCUGCGUUCGCGUCACAGUCCCGUUGCCCUGGAAAUGGAUGGAGCCUCCGCGCCUAACCCCUGCUGGAAUAACCCUCCUGGAAAUCGGUGGUGGACCUAUGGCUCUGUGGGGGACUCCCUAACUUUUCGCUUUCUAUAGUGUUCUCUGAACACGUGAUCACACUGCUUGACUCUGGGAAUCCAAAGACGAACGAGGCGCACACUCCCUGUUUUCAAGUUGCAGACAGUUUUGUAGGGCCAGUGUAUAGCUUACACAAGACCGUAUAUUACGAUCCUGAUAGAGGGGUCACAAACUCAAAUAUCCAUAGGAGCCAGCCAGAUACUUAGAUGAAUGUAAAAAUGCAAGCAUGCUUCCCAACCACAUACUCCCUAUCCCUCGUACCCCUGCUUUCUUUCUCUGUAGCAUUUAUCACUUUCUAAUAAUUUACGUAAUUACUAUGUUUUCUGUCUCUCCUCUUUAGAAUACAAACUCCGUUACCAGUUUUGUUGACUGCAUUAUCCCCAGCAUCCAAUACAGUGUCUGGCAAGUAAUGGGUGCUCAGGACAGUGCUUCCCCAGUAAGACCAUAAUGAGAGCUGACCCUAGUUACUGGUCUAGAAACACUGGAGAUGGUUGUGGCAAAUCUCAAGAAGGGAAUCUAACAUCUUGGAAGGCAUCUUCAUAAGGACUUCCAGUACUGUGGUGAAUAAGAGUGACUAAACAUGGUAAGAGUGAACAUCCUGUCUUGUUCCUGACCGUCGGGGCAAGCUCUCAGUUUUUCCUCAUUGAAUAUGAUGUUCAGUGUGAGUUUUUCAUAUAUGGCCUUUAUUAUGGCCUCUACACCUACUUGGUUGAGGUGGGUUUUUUUGUUGUUUUCUUUUGUUUUGUUUUGUUUUGUUUUUAGUAAGCCCUACUGCCCAAUGUGGGGGUUAAAAUCAUGACACUAAGAUCAAGGGUCAUAUGCUCUACCAUCUGAGCCAGCCAGGUGCCCCUUGUUG